AUGGAAAAGAGAGAGUAGAUGGAAAGUGUAAUUGCUUUGGUACUAUAACUAGUCUAAUGGAAUAUUAUUUCAAGACCCUUUACUAUGCAUUUCCCUCCUAUAAAUACUUGCUCCUUAUGCAGCAAGAGAUAUCAAACACUCUGCAGAUUCUAUUUUCUCUUACAUGACUCUUAAUUUUCCUUUUUUAUCAAAGGGGUGGAGGAGGAGUUAAUAGGGAAUUAUGUUGUUGACAGAAGAUAGAGAGCACAGAUGAUGAUAUGCAUUUGUAGGACCUGCUGGCUGCAUCAAUGGAUUGUGCAUCUCACUCCUUUGUGCUCUCUAUGCUUCUGUCAUCACCUUCUUCCUCCAAUUUCCAUUAACUUUCCUCUAUUCCCAAUUUUUUUUUAUGUUGCGACCAAAUAGCGAUGCAAAUGUUAAGACAUGUUUGAUGUGUGAUAUGUGUCACUAUCCAAGUGUCUAAUGCAGAUAUAUAUUGGAGAUGUGCACAUGCUGUGGCUGCUAGAGACCUGUUUGUUGAUGUCAUGCAGAAUUUGCUUGGAUGGCAUUAAUUCAUGAUCUAGUGGAAGCUGCGGUUUUGAACUUCUUCUACUUAUUCUUGUUUUUGUUGGUGUGGUUUUUUGUGUAUUCUCAAUUUGUUUAUGAUAUUAAAUUUUUGUUCAA